ACAUAGGGUGCAAGCGUUGUCCGGAAUUAUUGGGCGUAAAGAGCUCGUAGGUGGUUUGAUACGUCGGGUGUGAAAUUCAGGGGCUCAACCCCUGACCUGCAUUCGAUACGGUCAAGCUGGAGUUUGGUAGGGGAGACUGGAAUUCCUGGUGUAGCGGUGGAAUGCGCAGAUAUCAGGAGGAACACCAAUGGCGAAGGCAGGUCUCUGGGCCAAUACUGACACUGAGGAACGAAAGCGUGGGGAGCGAACAGG
rnacentral:rRNA from 1 species